UUUAGUAUCGCGCAAUGUCGGACAGUAAUGUUGGUACCGUUGUUCUCUAUAGUUCUCGUUUGAAUUCUCAUAUGGCGGUAUAAAGUCGUGAAUUUAUAAUUCAGUAUUGUGACUUAUUAUAAAUAUAUGUCGAAGAUUUUUAAUUAUUUUUGAAUUAAAAUUGCUCGAUACUCUCACUUGUCGUUUACAUUUAACUUUAUUUAAUUUAUAUGGUGCCUCAUUAUUAUGAAUUACAAUGUCUGAAGAUAAUAAAUUAUUUGCAAAACCUAGAGUGAGAUUUAGUCAGACAAUUAAUGCUAAGGAAAAUUCAAAAGAUUUAUCGGAUAAGGGAGAUAAAAUUUUACCCUCGAUCAUAGAUAUUGUACCUGUCAAGAUACCUGUUAAAGUUCUAAGUUUAGAAAAUAAGGUGGAUAAUCUAAUCGCAACAAGUACUCAUUAUAAUGAGGAUACAAUACCGAAAGAAUCGAUAAUUUCAUGCAACGGUGUACAUACAUUGUCUCAGAAAGAAAAUGAUCAUUUCUUACAGGAUCGAUCAAUCCAUAAGACAGAUGAUAAAGAAUCUUUAACCGAUGUACAUGAUAAAGUAAAUCUAAAAGCUAAUAAUACAGAACGGACAUCUUGUAAAAGAUCGUCACAAGAGGAUGUUCCUGGUAUACCUUGCUCAACAUUUCCAGCAGCUAAAAAUAAUAAGGAUCAUAGUAAAAUUCUUAAACCUAAAAACAGUACAACAAUAAAUAUUUCUAAGCAAUCUGCAAAGAAUAGUCUUGACAAGGGAAAAGAAAAUAAGAAUUCGUAUAAAAAAAAAUUACCACAGUUAAGUAAAGAUAAAGUCGUAAAACCUUUGUGUUCAAAAGUGACAACACAAAUAAAAAAGAAAAUAGAUACUACCAAAGUCAAUAUGCAAAAGUCAAAUGUUACAAAACAUAAUACUAAAAGUAUAAAUAAACCUUACACCUUGAGUAUUGACAAACAAAUUAAAAAAACCCCUACAUCUACUAAAACUUCACAAAAGAAUUUAAGUAUAAAAUCCAGUACAAUAAAUGUUAUGCCAUGCUAUAAGUAUAAUAAAGAUUUGACGAAAAGUAAAAGCUCUCCUGUUAAAAAAUCUGUAGUACGUGAUAUUGUAGUACCUAAUGCAAAAGCUUAUGUAGAACCAGGUAUACCAAAGCAGAAACAAAUUGAUUCGAAUGUACGUCGAAUAAAUAAAAGUACAAAUGCAAGACCAAAUAUUACUUCCAGCGAAAAAUUAUUAUAUCCAGAAUAUAAUUCAAUCAUGUGCACUGUUACCAAGUUGGAUGAAGUUAAGAAAGAGAAAAUAGUAACGGAUGUUGAACAUUUACCUGCCAUAUAUAAAGAUCUAGUCAAUGGAAAGAUUUCAAGUGCAUUAGAUUUUCCUAUGAAUGAAGCUAUUUAUAAAAAUUUAGUAGAUUUGUCUAUUGACGAGAAACAAUUUCCAAGUAAAAUAAUGCGAAGUAAAGAUCCACAACCAAGGCAAAAGGAUCUUGUACCAAAAUUAUCAGAUUUUUUUGUCCCAGAAUUUGUUGAUGAAUAUUAUACUCCAAUGUUUGUGAAAUCAAAAAAUUCUGACCUUAUAGAAAAUUGGAAUGCUUUUCGAAUUAGUGAUAAAAUAUGUGAAUGGAAGGAUAGCAUGGAUAAUUAAUCAUGAGAAUCAAGUUUUUAUAAAGAAAUACACAUAUAUCAAGAAUAAUAUUCUGAUUAAGCAGCACCUAUUUUGGGUACAGAUAAAUAAUUUUGCUAAAUAAAAUAUAUAUUUUAAUAAUAAUUAUUUUCUAAGUCAUAUACAUAAAUAUUAUAUGGCGCAUGUAUGUGUAUGUGUUUGUAUCUAU